UGGGGAAUAUUGCACAAUGGGGGAAACCCUGAUGCAGCCAUGCCGCGUGUGUGAAGAAGGCCUUCGGGUUGUAAAGCACUUUCAGCGAGGAGGAAAGGUUGGCGCCUAAUACGUGUCAACUGUGACGUUACUCGCAGAAGAAGCACCGGCUAACUCCGUGCCAGCAGCCGCGGUAAUACGGAGGGUGCAAGCGUUAAUCGGAAUUACUGGGCGUAAAGCGCACGCAGGCGGUUGGAUAAGUUAGAUGUGAAAGCCCCGGGCUCAACCUGGGAAUUGCAUUUAAAACUGUCCAGCUAGAGUCUUGUAGAGGGGGGUAGAAUUCCAGGUGUAGCGGUGAAAUGC
rnacentral:rRNA from 1 species